rnacentral:rRNA from 1 species
UACAGUGGGUGCAAACGUUGCUCGGAAUCAUUGGGCGUAAAGCGUGCGCAGGCGGUCUGUUAAGACCGAUGUGAAAUCCCCGGGCUUAACCUGGGAACUGCAUUGGUGACUGGCAGGCUUUGAGUGUGGCAGAGGGAGGUAGAAUUCCACGUGUAGCAGUGAAAUGCGUAGAGAUGUGGAGGAAUACCGAUGGCGAAGGCAGCCUCCUGGGCCAACACUGACGCUCAUGCACGAAAGCGUGGGGAGCAAACAGG